GUUUUGCUACGGUGGGGGAACCCCGACGAGACGCGCCGUACCGGGUGGCCUGGGCCGCAGGACAAGACGACGCACC
rnacentral:ncRNA from 1 species